rnacentral:lncRNA from 1 species
CCCCCUCCCGCGGCGCGAGCGAGAGAACGCAACAAAACAAAACAAACUCGUGCCGGCUUCCUGUUGUGCAACCACUUUCUGAGCCGGGUGUUGGAAGGAGGGUGGACUUUGGAAUCAGAAAACCUGGAAAUCUCAACUCCACUACUUACUCCAAAGACGAGAGGUUGUACCCUGGCCCAUUGAGGACUUCAAUCCUGCUACCUGAGGCUUUGUAAAGAGCAGGUCUCCAGCAGAAGGUGUGGCCCAGAUUAAAGGUGUGUACCACCACACCUGGAUCUGGGACUUGCUUUGUCCCAGAUGACCUUGAGCUCAGAGAUCUCCUUGCCUUAGUCUCCUGGGAUUCAUAGCCACUAUGCCUCAAGAUCUCCAGGCCAAGAUCCAGGUCAGAAACUUCUCUCUCUCAGUCUCAAGAUCUGGAUCACAGAGCCGAACAUUACCCCACUUUGGAGAGUUCGGUGCAUGCUGAUGACGAGUGGAUGUAUCACAAAUACACACCAGGGUAUGAAAAGACUUCUGUUGGAAGCUACCAAGUGUCACUGUAAGAAGAGGCACCAUCUUAUCCUGGUUGUUAUACUAAUUCUCUACAGGUUCUGUGACAAAGUCUGAUAGACUGCUGACUUCAGACAACAGGAUACAUCUUCUUGCAGCUCAAGAGGCUGAUUUACUCCAAGGAUUUCUCAUGCCCUUUGGAGUCCUAUCCUGUCCCUAAUUAGUCUAGUAGAAACUCUGAAAUCCCACCUUUGUCUCAAUAUCUUAAAACAGAACUCCCACAAAGGAAGACAUAUCCCAAAUCAAUAUCAUAGAACAGACAUGCCUUGCUAGAAGUCCUCUGUCACCCUUGAGACCUUUCACCCUCAAACCUGGUGUUCUGAGGCAAAGAUCGUGCUCUGACUCUCAGCAUCUGUUACUGACUUCAACUUCGCUGUGGAAGACUCCCUCCAAUGGUUUAGUUGAGUACAAGACUAACCAGCUAAAGACAGGAUAUAAUAAUGUGUAAUAUAACAUACAUUCAUAUGUAAUAAAAAUUAUUCCUGUUUGCUUGAUAGCUGGAUAUGAUCUUUUUAGGAAAUGUAUUGAAGCAUAUGCUAGACACUAGACGCUGUACUCUGAACCUUAUUCACAGCAGUAUCAGUAUCUGUGGAAUGGACAUCUCUUUAUUAUUGUUGGGAUUAUCAGGAGGCUCCUGGGUCAUGUCAGUAAUUUUGUUUUCUUGCUAAUGUUUACAGUUUCAUGUGUCCUCAGUUGUGUGACUUCUCCUGGGGCAACAGAAACAAACAUCCAUUAACUUACUCUAAAAUAUGGCAUCAACAAUAGACC